UACGAAGGGGGCUAGCGUUGCUCGGAAUUACUGGGCGUAAAGCGCACGUAGGCGGCUUUCUAAGUCGGGGGUGAAAUCCUGGAGCUCAACUCCAGAACUGCCUUCGAUACUGGGAGAGCGUCGAGUCCGGGAGAGGUGAGUGGAACUGCGAGUGUAGAGGUGAAAUUCGUAGAUAUUCGCAAGAACACCAGUGGCUGAAGGCGGCUCACUGGCCCGGGUACUGACGCUGAGGUGCGAAAAGCGUGGGGAGCAACAGG
rnacentral:rRNA from 1 species